ensembl:snRNA U6 U6 spliceosomal RNA
GGGCUUACUUUGGCAGCACAUAUACUACAACUGGAACGAUACAGAGAAGAUUAGCACGGCCCUUGUACAAGGAUAACAUGCAAAUUCGUAAAGUAUUCCACAUUUUU